ensembl:snoRNA
AAGCAACACUCUGACAGAUGAUCAGAAUUGUCUGACGCAAUUUGAGCUUUCUAUAGCAAGAAAGUCAAACCUAUUCCGGUGUUCUCUCCUCCAUGAGACAAACCAUUAUAUAGACUUAAACAGU